GGCUCAGGAUGAACGCUAGCGGCAGGCCUAACACAUGCAAGUCGAGGGGCAGCAUAAACAAGCUUGCUUGUUUGGUGGCGACCGGCGCACGGGUGCGUAACGCGUAUGCAACCUACCCUGUACUGGGGGAUAGCCCGGAGAAAUUCGGAUUAAGACCCCAUAGCACUUAAGAAUGGCAUCAUUCAUAAGUUAAAGGUUACGGUACAGGAUGGGCAUGCGUCCCAUUAGCUAGAUGGUAAGGUAACGGCUUACCAUGGCAACGAUGGGUAGGGGGCCUGAGAGGGUGGUCCCCCACACUGGUACUGAGACACGGACCAGACUCCUACGGGAGGCAGCAGUGAGGAAUAUUGGUCAAUGGGCGAAAGCCUGAUCCAGCCAUUCCGCGUGCAGGAUGAAGGCCCUCGGGUUGUAAACUGCUUUUGUACAGAACGAAAAGGUUUCUACUAAUACUAGGAGCUCAUGACGGUACUGUAAGAAUAAGCACCGGCUAACUACGUG
rnacentral:rRNA from 1 species